rnacentral:rRNA from 1 species
CAGCCGCCGCGGUAAUACCGGCGGCCCGAGUGGCGGUCACUAUUAUUGGGCUUAAAGCGUCCGUAGCCGGGUUGGGAAGUCCUCCGGGAAAUCUGGCCGCUUAACGGUCAGAAUGCCGGAGGAUACUCCCAGCCUAGGGAGCGGGAGAGGCCGAGGGGCUUCCCGGAGUAGGGGUGAAAUCCUAUAAUCCCGGGAGGACCACCUGUGGCGAAGGCGCUCGGCUGGAACGCGUCCGACGGUGAGGGACGAAGGCCAGGGGAGCAAACCGGAUUAGAUACCCGGGUAGUCCUGGCUGUAAACGAUGCGGACGUUGUGUCGGACAAGCUAUGAGCUUGUCCGGUGCCGGAGGGAAACCGUUAAGUCCGCCGCCUGGGGAGUACGGCCGCAAGGCUGAAACUUAAAGGAAUUGGCGGG